CGGAACCGCUGAAUCCCGUCCGCGAGGUUAGGGGAGAAACAGAAGCGGCAACGUCUCUGCUGCACGAAGCACCCGGUAACUUACUGCCUACCCCUCACUCCUGUCUAAUCUUUGCUCUCAAUGGAUUGCUGGGUUGGUUUUGUUUUAUUCAUUUUUGUUCUGAAGCAAGGAAACUUAACUUCACGUGGAGGGCCACUGUAAACUGCUGCCUCCCUUAAAAAAUGCAUAACGAGAAGAGUAAGUUAAAACGUUUGGGGCCACACAGAAGGUUCUAGAAGUUCUGCAGACCCAAGCUGCCACAGUCCUUAAUCGCAUGGAAUCUCACUGUAACUUUUAUCUCCUCUGAUUUUUUUCCGCUCCCUAACACCUAGGUAAAUUAAUCAAAGUGUGGCCACCGAUAACGCCCUCACAGGUUUAGCUUAAAUCGAAUGCGUUUUCUCUCGGACUAGGGGAGAUAAUCCAAGAAACAAACAAAACUACACCACGUCCAUCCACAACAAAUCUCAACAAGCAACUUCGGUUGCCGCAGCCUCACUGUGCCCCAGGCCCCGGCCCGCCACACGCGGCCUCCGUCCGCUAACCGCCCGCGAACCGCCCGCGCGGCGAGCAGAACGCCCGAGACCGCCCGCCCGGAGCUCACCUGAGCUCCAGCUGGUCCAGGCUCUCCAGCAGGCGGCUGGAGCGGUCAGCCAUGGAGGAGGAGCGGCAGAAGCGCCCCUCGUUGGCUUUAGCGUUGAUCUUCGCCUGAGCCAUCUAAGCCUCCGACGCGGGGUAGCCAAGAGGUCACCGGCCCCUCCGGCGGCAGCGAGUGGAGCGCUCCUUGGGCUGCAGGCGUCGCCGUCACCACGCGGGCGCCCGCCCUCCCUCUGACGCCCGCGGGGGCAACCCGGGAGGACUCGCCGACACCGCGGCUGCAGCGUAGCCAAAGAAGGGCAGGCGCGGCGCCCGCGGGGCUCGGGGACGCCGGGCCUGGGAGGGGGCUGCAGCGGCUGGAGUUAGAGGUUCGCGAGCCACACGGGCUCGAGGAUGGGCCGACAGGGGCUCGGGCCUGGGGAGCGCAAGUCUCUGAGGCACGGGAGGGGCGGACGCAGAGACCGAGCGCCUAAUGUGGCUAGCGGAUCGUCUGCUCCCCGGACCCAGGAACUACCCGAAGCCCGCGCGGACCCACAGACCACCCCCAGCUCCGCCCCGCGAGGCCCCGCCUCUUCAUGCAACCUAAAAGUAACCAACUCCCCCCACGCGAAGGUUCCUAUCGGUCGACGGGCUGUGGGUGUAUUGCUCAGUGACGGCUUCGUUUAGUUUCUCCCAGCACCCAUAAUUCAAAGCAAGAACAACGACAUUAUGGGGAGAAAACGUCCUUUUGUGAAACAGAAGGCAAUCCACACCAUUAGUAAACCCCAUCAAUUUUGCCUUCAGAAUAUAUCCAGAUUCUUCCCAAUUCUACCGCCACCAUUCUGGUUCAAGCUACCUGGUGAGUUUGCACCUGGAAUACUACAAUACCUUCC
rnacentral:lncRNA from 10 species